AGCUGCCCCAUUUGCCUGCGGCACGAGAGCACGGUUUCCCGCGAUUCCAGAGCUCUGCGCUGAGAAAAAGGGAACCUCCGCCGUGCAUGCUGAAGUCUCGGUCGUCUUGAGAUGCUUGACUGCCCUACGUCUGGAAGGAGGCCGACAGCCUGUUGUCAGAAGCAGGACCUGAGGUGAUUUCAGCAAGGCAGGACCGGUGUCUCCUGGAAUUGGGUGCGGUCUCUACAGGAGACUAGUGCUCACCGCUCCUAGCUUGUAUACACACGGACAGCCUUCUACUCGCACCGUGAGUCCUCUUAGGGACUCAAAAGAGACAUAGAGGGAGAGAACCUCAGUUAUCGCCCAGAUCUUCUGGAGUAAGUUAGACACACCAGUCCAGCCUCCUGAACCGUCACUGGGUCCUGACCACCUAUUUGGGGGAGAGAACUGGUAUUCAUCUCAAAGUUUGGAAGAAAGGGUCUGGGAGGCACCAAGCAAUGGGUGGGCAAAGAGAAUGUGUCAGCAAGUGAAAAUCAACUUUCCAUGGGUCCACGGCAGGCAGAUAUGGACCAGAGACCAGAAACAACAUGAAUCUCUGAUGUUUUUCUACAGAGUUCUGUUAUCAACUUGUAAAGAGCCGACUUCAGAAUUAGACUUUUCCAAAUCCUAUAUUUGGAUUUGGCCAUGAAGCCGAAACUUCACAGCAUUGCCGGACAUUAAAUCUCCUAUGCAAGCCUUUGCUCUGGGUGUCUUUUUUGUUUUUUGACAAUGUUGUCCACAGUGAGUACUGCGAAAAUCUAGUUUACCAUUGCUUUUUCCAAGUCCUUCCGGUGACUCCUUCUGAUUUGACCUAGUACAGCACAUCUUGGGGGAGCAUUGGUGGUUCAGUGGUGGAGGCCUGGGUUCAAUUCCCAGCCAGUGCAGUGUGUUCAGCAGUUUUACUUUGAACUGUCUGUCUGUUGCUCAGGCAAGUUAGGUCCCUCUGGGGUUCUGACCUUCAGGGAACAGCUGCCCCAUUAGGGGAGGAAAGUGGGUUAUUUCCGGGGCAGAAGACAUUGAGGAAUUUGUGUGAACAGGGACUUUGGAGAAGGUAUGUCCUUCACGUGCGGGUGUGUCUGACGGGUCUGUCUCUGACGUUUUUGCAUCUAUGGGUCUAGAGCCAGUGUUCCUUUUAUUCUUCCUUCUGGUGGUCCCUGGAAUCCAUAGAGUCAUCUGGUCACUGAUACACAUGCUGGACUUGGGCAGACCAUUGGGCCACGUCUCACUAUGGAGUGGGGAUCAAGAAAUGAAAUUCCCAAAUUGAGACAAGCCGCAGGGAGGGCUAGGCAGACACCCCAGUGGAGAGGAAGAAAUGAGGGGCCCCAGGAAGGAGGAGACUUGUGGGGAAGAAUCCACAGGGUGAUGAGGGGAACUGGGUAGAGGUAGGCUUCAGUCUUUGAUGGUCUUGGUAGAAUGAAGGAUGAGUCCCCGAGUGUAGAGCAGCAUGUACAAUAAAGUCAUUUUCACUACUAUUGUUUUAUAGUCUGUCCGGGAAAAAUCUAUUUAGUGCAUGGUUUUUAUGCUUAUUGGUAAGCAGCACGGUGGGGGAGGGGGGCGGGCGGGAAGCCAUGACAAUCAUCAGCUCUGGAGGUUUGGAGGAGGAGACUCUGGGAAAAGAAAACCCAGGGAUCAUCAGGUUUGCCUACCCCUGUUUUCAUCUACUAUUUUCCUCAACAAACCUCACGUAGGGUCCCAGAUCUCAAACUGCCCCUGCCACAUUGGCAAAUUGAAUAUGUGCCACUGAUCAUUUCUUUCUUGAAGGGAUAAGAAAUGGUAGAGCCGGUGCUAUGGGAGUGAGAUGCAAGAACAGAACUUAAAUGCUUUUCUCCAUCAUGUCUCACUGCUACCUACCUCUGAACGUCAGCCUUCCACACACACCAGUUCAAAAACGCCUUCAGUCUCUAUGGAGGGUUAGAAGUCUUUUAUAAUUCCUGUAAGGCAUGUUUCUUCCUUCCUUCUAUAAUUCCACCAGGGUUGAUUUUUGAGGAGCUGGUCAGCAAGCCCGGACCAGUUCAACAUCCUGGAUCAUUUGUCUGGUUUCGGUAUCGUUAGAGUAGGCAGGUAGUUAAGUUCUAACAGGACACCUGGAGGUCAGCAAAGAGGAAGUGCUGGCCAGCUAUCAGGGAGGUCAGAGGCCUGUCCUGGCAGCGGCAGUCCACAAGAAGCUGGGUCAAACCAGAUAGGCCCAAGAUGGUGGGAGCCAGGAUGGGAAAAUUGAGGGGAAAAAUAAAAAAAAAAAGGAAACCCUGCUUCUGGACCAAACAGUAAAUAUUCCGCCCCCCUAGUCAAUAAC